rnacentral:lncRNA from 1 species
UCUGUCUGGUGAGAUGCUUCAGCUUGAGUGUCACUUCCUCCCUGUCCUCCAUCUUCAGUUCAUCCCAGACCAGCCAUCUCGGUAUGACUUAAGACAGUGGAGAACUUGAAGGCUCUAGACUGUCAUUUUCUAAACCUGGGGUUUAAAGUCUUUAAAUAUUUUAAAUCUUGGUUCUUUUAAAGGUGGCAUUGUAUAAUGGGAUUACUUGAAAAGUUUUUAUCUGUGUGAAAGUAAUGAGUCCAAAGUCUUGCUUCUCCUUAGAUUCCGUCUUUCUGAAGUAAACAGUAAGUGCUCUUAAAUCCACAUUUUAUCUGCCAAAGUCUGAACUAUGUUCCUUAUAACUGCAUGGUGUACACCAGAUUAUUUAGUUGGCUCAUUCCCCUCUCAAUGCCUGGUCUUCCACUACAGAUGUGUGAUGGGGGCUGAGUCCUUUGUAGUUAUUUAUCUUCCUAAUUUCUAAUCUUUAUAAACUUAAUGUUUCACUGAUAAUGGUGAAUUUUGUAGGUUGAUUAUUUUUUAAGCUGACUUGACAUUUUCCUUUUUCUUUGCUUUUUAUUUUUUAAAGAAUUGCAAGUGUUACCAUGUGAUGGGAACAGGCCACUGUAAGACAAAAAGUCUACAAAUUGAAUGCCAGUGACCUUGCUCUAGUACAUCAAUCAGUGGAUUCUGUAGCUCCCAUUUAGAAUGUAAGAAUAUGUGGAAAAUUUGCACUUGUCUAUUUUUACUUUAAAUGCAGAGGUUAUCUGGAAAUGUCACUUAUCACCACUGCAGUUAGAUGCUAUUGUUUAUAAACUAUUUGCUUAAAAGGGGGGAGGGCAUUUCCACUUGCUGAUUUUUUUCUCAACUGUGAUUUUUUUUUUCUAAGCUUAGGAUACACAGUAGUACAGAGUGUGUUCUAGGAAGUUGAA